UACGUAGGGGGCAAGCGUUGUCCGGAAUCAUUGGGCGUAAAGCGCGCGUAGGUGGCCCCAUAAGUCCGUUGUGAAAGUCAAAGGCUCAACCUUUGAAAGCCGAUGGAUACUGUAGGGCUAGAGUCCGGAAGAGGCCAGUGGAAUUCCUGGUGUAGCGGUGGAAUGCGCAGAUAUCAGGAGGAACACCAAUAGCGAAGGCAGCUGGCUGGGACGGUACUGACACUAAGGCGCGAAAGCGUGGGGAGCGAACAGG
rnacentral:rRNA from 1 species